rnacentral:rRNA from 1 species
GACGAACGCUGGCGGCGUGCUUAACACAUGCAAGUCGAACGGUAAGGCCCCUUCGGGGGUACACGAGUGGCGAACGGGUGAGUAACACGUGAGCAACCUGCCCCAGACAUCGGGAUAACAAGUGGAAACACUUGCUAAUACCGGAUACGACCUCAGCGGACAUCUGCAUGAGGUGGAAAGCUCCGGCGGUCUGGGAUGGGCUCGCGGCCUAUCAGCUUGUUGGUGAGGUAACGGCUCACCAAGGCUUCGACGGGUAGCCGGCCUGAGAGGGCGACCGGCCACACUGGGACUGAGAUACGGCCCAGACUCCUACGGGAGGCAGCAGUGGGGAAUAUUGCACAAUGGGCGCAAGCCUGAUGCAGCAACGCCGCGUGUGGGAUGACGGCCUCCGGGUUGUAAACCACUUUCAGCUCUGACGAAGCGCAAGUGACGGUAGGAGCAGAAGAAGCCCCGGCUAACUUCGUGCCAGCCGCCGCGGUAAUAC